rnacentral:rRNA from 1 species
AUUAAGCCAUGCAUGUCUCAGUGCAAGCCAAAUUAAGGUGAAACCGCGAAUGGCUCAUUAAAUCAGUUAUGGUUCCUUAGAUCGUACCACAUUACUUGGAUAACUGUGGUAAUUCUAGAGCUAAUACAUGCAAACAGAGUCCCGACCAGAAGUGGAAGGGACGCUUUUAUUAGAUCAAAACCAAUCGGUCGGCUUGUCCGGUCCGUUUGCCUUGGUGACUCUGAAUAACUUUGGGCUGAUCGCACGGUCCUGGAACCGGCGACGCAUCUUUCAAAUGUCUGCCUUAUCAACUGUCGAUGGUAGGUUCUGCGCCUACCAUGGUUGUAACGGGUAACGGGGAAUCAGGGUUCGAUUCCGGAGAGGGAGCCUGAGAAACGGCUACCACAUCCAAGGAAGGCAGCAGGCGCGCAAAUUACCCACUCCCGGCACGGGGAGGUAGUGACGAAAAAUAACGAUACGGGACUCAUCCGAGGCCCCGUAAUCGGAAUGAGUACACUUUAAAUCCUUUAACGAGUAUCCAUUGGAGGGCAAGUCUGGUGCCAGCAGCCGCGGUAAUUCCAGCUCCAAUAGCGUAUAUUAAAGUUGUUGCGGUUAAAAAGCUCGUAGUUGGACUUGUGUCCCACGCUGUCGGUUCAUCGCUCGUCGGUGUCUAACUGGCAUGGCUCGUGGGACGUCCUGCCGGUGGUGGCGAGUCGAAAGCGCGCACCCGUCGCGGAUUUCCGUUGACGGUUCUUGCGCGUCGUAGGCGGACCCCGAUGAAAUCCUACCGCGGUGCUCUUCGCCGAGUGUCGAGGUGGGCCGGCACGUUUACUUUGAACAAAUUAGAGUGCUUAAAGCAGGCCUGACGCGCCUGAAUACUGUGUGCAUGGAAUAAUGGAAUAGGACCUCGGUUCUAUUUUGUUGGUUUUCGGAACCCGAGGUAAUGAUUAAUAGGGACAGGCGGGGGCAUUCGUAUUGCGACGUUAGAGGUGAAAU